rnacentral:rRNA from 1 species
GUACUUAACAUGGGGUUUGCAAUAGAAACUGUAAAGCUAGAGUGCAGGAGAGGUAAGUGGAAUUCCUAGUGUAGCGGUGAAAUGCAUAGAUAUUAGGAGGAACACCAGUGGCGAAGGCGACUUACUGGACUGUAACUGACGCUGAAGCACGAAAGCGUGGGGAGCGAACAGGAUUAGAUACCCUGGUAGUCCACGCCGUAAACGAUGGAUACUAGGUGUAGGGCCGUCAAGGUUCUGUGCCGUAGUCAACGCAAUAAGUAUCCCGCCUGGGGAGUACGGCCGCAAGGCUGAAACUCAAAGGAAUUGACGGGGGCCCGCACAAGCAGCGGAGCAUGUGGUUUAAUUCGAAGCAACGCGAAGAACCUUACCAAGGCUUGACAUCCCUGUAAAACCACGGAAAAGUGGUGUGAGCAGUUUACUGCUCGAUAGGAGACAGGUGGUGCAUGGUUGUCGUCAGCUCGUGUCGUGAGAUGUUGGGUUAAGUCCCGCAACGAGCGCAACCCUUGUAUCCAGUUACCAGCAUGUUAUGAUGGGGACUCUGGAUAGACUGCCGUGGAUAACACGGAGGAAGGUGGGGAUGACGUCAAAUCAUCAUGCCCCUUAUGUCUAGGGCUACACACGUGCUACAAUGGUCGGUACAAAAAGAUGCGAUCCCGUGAGGGGGAGCCAAACUGAAAAACCGAUCCCAGUUCGGAUUGUAGGCUGAAACUCGCCUACAUGAAGUUGGAGUUGCUAGUAAUCGCGAAUCAGCAUGUCGCGGUGAAUACGUU